rnacentral:rRNA from 1 species
GGGACAUUUAUAUGCUCUGUAAUUGGAAUGAUGGGAAUGUAAAACCCUUCCAGAGUAACAAUUGGAGGGCAAGUCUGGUGCCAGCAGCCGCGGUAAUUCCAGCUCCAAUAGUGUAUAUUAGAGUUGUUGCAGUUAAAAAGCUCGUAGUUGGAUUUCUGCUGUGGUCAUCCGGUACCGCCCGUAUGGGUGCGCACCUGGUUUGGCUCCGGCUUUCUUCCUGUAGCCGUCCGCGCUUAAUUGCGUGUACUGUGUUACGGAACUUUUACUUUGAGAAAAAUAGAGUGUUUCAAGCAGGCUUGUCGCCCUGAAUACUUCAGCAUGGAAUAAUAGGAUAGGACCUUGGUUCUAUUUUGUUGGUUUCUAGGACCAAGGUAAUGAUUAAUAGGGACAGUGGG